UUGUACACUGGUCGACACAGCCCGCGUGCUAUGAUCGUGUGGAUUUGGCUGUCGGAAGAUGGUUGGAACGUUCGGUGGUUAAAGGACAAGGCUUUGCUUUCACCAGCUUCAAUGGGAUAAAGAAUACCGCUUCUCGUCAAUCUUUCUGUUGCUUGUUGCAAGAAAAGCGGACAAGCUGCAACGUCUUUCUGCACCUCCAUCAAAGACUAAACUGCUGAUCACGGAAGAGCCCACGAUGAUUUAACUGCAGGAGGACCCAACAGUACCUGUGUCAGAGUGGGCGCUGAGAAGCGUUACGGGGAACGUGUUAUGACGCAGAUCCCACACUGUGAGUGAGCCGUCCUCUCCCCCUGCCAAUACCAUGUGGCGCUGUGUUGGAUGGUGCAUCACGCAGCUGGCUCCUAUCUACAACAUAUUCAACAUUUGGGACUCUAAUUUAGAGAGUCCUGAGUUCAAACCCUGGUCAGGUUCCCAGUCAACACUUCAUUGUGUUUCAAGAAGCACACACAGCGCAGAGAGCAACUGUCAGCACCCUCUGCAGACAAAAUUAUAUAACUUGUCAGUACAAGACAAUACGAAGAACGAACAAACAGCCCAUGACUGCGAGCUCACCAAUUCUUCGGACAGGUUUCUUCUGUCUUGCUGUAAGUAGUAACAGACGACCAUCCUCCCCCACUGACACAAUGUCUUCCUCAAAGCACGCCAGUCCAGUGCAGGGGCUGGAGCCUCCAAAGCUGUAACACAAACUCAUGAAGUAAGUACAGCCUCGGGUGAGGAGUAAACAGAACUGAAAAUUGGAUCAUAAGUAAUAAAAAUGUCUGACUGUGGUGAGAAACGUUAUUGCCAUAUUGACAGAAACUUCACAAAUGGAAAAAAGUACCAAGGAAUUGGAAACAAGAAAUAAAGGGCAACUUUUUAAACCA